GCCAUCGCCUCAUCCCCUCUCCUAGCGCUCGACUGUGCCGGCAUGGGAUAGAGAGGCUGACCUCGAUGGAUAGAAUGAGGAGGGAUGGUGUUGGGGAGGCGCUCGUCGCUAGCUCCUCCUCGUUGACGGCCUCCUCUUCUUGUUUUCAUCCUCCACGUCGCGCUCGUCGUCCAUCGCGCCCAGGCCCAGCAGGCACCGGCGAGACGCGAGCGGGAGGAGGAGCUCUACCAGGACGACGGUAGCCGGAGGAGGAUCCCUUGUCAACGGCACCCCAGGGACUCACUACCAAGAAGCUGCCGGAGGAGGAGCUCUUCCUGGACGAGCACCGCUGGACGAGGAGGCCUCGAAAAAUCCCCAACCUCCCAUGUGUCGUGGCCUCUUCACCUUCGACCACGAGUUGCAGCGGUCAGAGCACUAAGCUGGAGCAUACUUGGCAAAUGAGCCUUGCCGUGAGCGAUGGUACAACGGUGACCCGGACGAGCAGGCCAAUGGCCAGACACGACUAGGGCACCAAAGAUGACUGGAAGCACUCAAAAAACUUUACCACGCUGGAGCUAUGUCAGACUGGCCGUCUCCAUGGUUGUGGAGCCAAGGUCACCACAUCUUACAUCCUGAUGCAUGUAAGAAAAUAUGAUUAAUGUCCCUGUAUUUUUCUAAUUUGUGGGCUUACUCGUGUAUAUAUACUUAUAAACUUACCUCCAUUUGUUGGUCUAAUGUACAUGAGAAGCCCCAAUUUUUGUUGGCAAUACACGCAUGAUUUCUCAAUAAUUAAAACUAACAUAAUGUUGUAUACAAUGUAUGGUAGUCAUGUGUGUGAUGUUCUUCGUGUAUCGGAUUCCAAGAGUUUUAGGAUGGAUGGUAUGGUUCCCAUGUUUGAUGUUUUUUUUACUUCCACAAAAUUGGUCGAUGCUGAUGAGAAUGGCACCGGUGGUCUUCGACACUUUGUUGUUUUACUUUUUUGGGUUCAAUAAGAUUAAGAUAUAUAUACUUUGCAUUGUGCCGAAUAUGAUGUCAUUCAAAUUCUAGGAAUCUUUGGAUGGGUCGCAAGUUUUUCUUGUUGGGUGUUUUCUUAUUUUCUUAAAUUUUGUGUGAUAAUUCAUAGGGGAUUCUGUUUCUACCUCAAGACUUGCCUUUUUAUGUUUUAGUUUCAAGAAGACAUUAUUUGAUGUUAGACUAAUUAGUCUGUUCAUUUCAUGUGUACAUAGGAUUAAUGAUAUUAUUCUAUGAGGAGAAGCAAGUGGAUCAGUUUGUAGCAACAGGUAUCAAUGUGUGUUCUCAUACCGAUGAUUCUGAAGUAAUUAAAUUGAGAAAAAGGCUCUAUUCCCAAAUUUCUCUAUGAAAGCUUUGUCUUCUCCAUGGUCAUACCUACUCCCUCCGUCCGAUGAAAAGUGUACAUAUAGACAUUUUAGGACAAAUUAUGAAGUGGAGUAAAAAAUGUAUUGGAAAGAUGCAAGCCAUCAUCUCUUUCCUCUUUAAUUACCCAACCCCCAAUGAGCUAAGUGCACGUAGAAAUUAAGGAGACUAUGUGUAGAAUGUUAUUGGUCUUGAUUACCGUGUGAUGAGAAAGAAGCAUUUUUUUUCUAUUUUAAAGUACAUUGGAAAAAUAAAAGUACGCUCUUUUAUGAACAAAUUUUUAGGCCAAACGUACACUCUUCACCGGACUGGACGGAGGGAGUAAAUGAGUUACUUUAUUUCCUAUAACCCUAUUACUUUUUUUUCUGCAACCUGUCUCUCUAUUCCCCUUUAUAAUACCAUGAUCAGAGACAAGAAGGAAAACUAUGCUUGAAUUAUGAUGUGGGUCCAAAGAAAUAUGUGUGAAUGGAAUAAGAAUUGUACUCCCUCCGUCCCAAAAUAAGUGUCUUAAACUUAGCACAACUUUAUACUAGAGCUAGUAUAAAGUUGAGACAGUUAUUUUGGGACGGAGGGAGUAUAUAGUUAUUGAUAUAUCAUCUUCCAGUAUUGAUAUUAAAUGACACCAAUAUCUGAAAGUAACUUGUGUCCGCUUCCCCUCUUGAAAUUAACAUUUUUUUUAUUUUUUUGUUACUUUAGUGAUGUCACUCAUCAGUGAGCAGGAAGCGUCUUCUUGGUACUUGCGUGCUUAAGGACAAAAUUGGUUUUCUAACUUUUCAUUCUAAUGUGUUUUGGAAAGUGAAGGAGUCUAGGAUUAAGGCGUUCUCGUAUCGCUUACCUAUUUUUAUGGACCGAACUCCUGGGCCGUCAUAUAAUAUCAUGGGAGCCCGAACUAUAAGACGAUGUUGUAUCCAAGACGAACUCUUGCGAAGACUUGGUGUGCGCCCCAUGGCAAGAUGAUAAUCAACAUGUUUUCUCCUUAGUGUAACUGACAUUGUAUAACCCUAUAUCCCUGGUAUCUAUAUAAACCAGAGGGUUUUAGUCCGUAGGACAAGUUAAGAUCAUUAUUCUUAGGGUUUUAGACCAUAACAUAUGAUAUUGAGGUAGAUCAACUCUGUAUUUGAUAUCCCAUCAUCAAUAUAAACAAGAGUAUGACGUAGGGUUUUACCUCCAUUGAGAGGACCUGAACCUGAGUAAA